rnacentral:rRNA from 1 species
UGAGGAAUAUUGGUCAAUGGACGAGAGUCUGAACCAGCCAAGUAGCGUGAAGGAUGACUGCCCUAUGGGUUGUAAACUUCUUUUAUACGGGAAUAAAGUGGAGUAUGCAUACUCCUUUGUAUGUACCGUAUGAAUAAGGAUCGGCUAACUCCGUGCCAGCAGCCGCGGUAAUACGGAGGAUCCGAGCGUUAUCCGGAUUUAUUGGGUUUAAAGGGAGCGUAGGCGGGUGCUUAAGUCAGUUGUGAAAGUUUGCGGCUCAACCGUAAAAUUGCAGUUGAUACUGGGCGCCUUGAGUGCAGCAUAGGUAGGCGGAAUUCGUGGUGUAGCGGUGAAAUGCUUAGAUAUCACGAAGAACUCCGAUUGCGAAGGCAGCUUACUGGACUGUAACUGACGCUGAUGCUCGAAAGUGUGGGUAUCAAACAGGAUUAGAUACCCUGGUAGUCCACACAGUAAACGAUGAAUACUCGCUGUUGGCGAUACACAGUCAGCGGCCAAGCGAAAGCAUUAAGUAUUCCACCUGGGGAGUACGCCGGCAACGGUGAAACUCAAAGGAAUUGACGGGGGCCCGCACAAGCGGAGGAACAUGUGGUUUAAUUCGAUGAUACGCGAGGAACCUUACCCGGGCUUAAAUUGCAGCGGAAUGUAGUGGAAACAUUACAGCCUUCGGGCCGCUGUGAAGGUGCUGCAUGGUUGUCGUCAGCUCGUGCCGUGAGGUGUCGGCUUAAGUGCCAUAACGAGCGCAACCCUUAUCUAUAGUUACUAUCAGGUCAUGCUGAGGACUCUAUGGAGACUGCCGUCGUAAGAUGUGAGGAAGGUGGGGAUGACGUCAAAUCAGCACGGCCCUUACGUCCGGGGCUACACACGUGUUACAAUGGGGGGUACAGAAGGCAGCUACCUGGCGACAGGAUGCUAAUCCCUAAAACCUCUCUCAGUUCGGAUUGGAGUCUGCAACCCGACUCCAUGAAGCUGGAUUCGCUAGUAAUCGCGCAUCAGCCACGGCGCGGUGAAUACGUUCCC